UACGGAGGGUGCAAGCGUUGUCCGGAUUUAUUGGGUUUAAAGGGUGCGUAGGCGGCGAUCUAAGUCAGUGGUGAAAUCCAGCAGCUUAACUGUUGAACUGCCAUUGAUACUGGAUUGCUUGAGUACAGACGAGGUAGGCGGAAUUUAUGGUGUAGCGGUGAAAUGCAUAGAUACCAUAAAGAACACCGAUUGCGAAGGCAGCUUACUAGGCUGUAACUGACGCUGAGGCACGAAAGCGUGGGGAUCAAACAGG
rnacentral:rRNA from 2 species